rnacentral:tRNA from 1 species
AUUUAUCUAAUAUAAAAAGUAUAUUUGACUUCCAAUCAAAAGGUUUGAUCUUACAAGAUAAAUA